rnacentral:rRNA from 1 species
CGAAUCAUUCACAAUGGGCGAAAGCCUGAUGGUGCGACGCCGCGUGAGGGAUGAAGGUCUUCGGAUUGUAAACCUCUGUCACUGGGGAGAAAACGCUUCAGGUUAAUAGUCUGAAGCCCGAUUUAACCCGGAGAGGAAGCAGUGGCUAACUCUGUGCCAGCAGCCGCGGUAAUACAGAGACUGCAAGCGUUAUUCGGAUUCACUGGGCGUAAAGGGUGCGCAGGCGGCCGGGUGUGUCAGAUGUGAAAUCCCGAGGCUCAACCUCGGAACUGCGUCUGAAACUACUCGGCUAGAGUACUGGAGAGGGUAACGGAAUUCACGGUGUAGCAGUGAAAUGCGUAGAUAUCGUGAGGAACACCAGAGGCGAAGGCGGUUACCUGGACAGUUACUGACGCUCAGGCACGAAAGCAUGGGGAGCAAAA